rnacentral:rRNA from 1 species
UACGUAGGGGGCAAGCGUUGUCCGGAAUCAUUGGGCGUAAAGCGCGUGUAGGCGGUUCGGUAAGUCUGCUGUGAAAGUCCAGGGCUCAACCCUGGGAUGCCGGUGGAUACUGUCGGACUAGAGUACGGAAGAGGCGAGUGGAAUUCCCGGUGUAGCGGUGAAAUGCGCAGAUAUCGGGAGGAACACCAAUUGCGAAGGCAGCUCGCUGGGACGUUACUGACGCUGAGAUGCGAAAGCGUGGGGAGCAAACAGG